CGAGCGUCGUUCACAGCUAGCGCGUUUCAGUCAGUCACGCACGUCACAUCAGUCAGUCGAGUAGCGAUCUCGAUAGCCUGCGAACCGUACGCACGGCGCACACGUGCCCUCGCGCCCUUUCCAACUUCCACCACGCCGCCGCGCCGUGCCCGCUCCGCACAAUCGUCGCCUCGGCGCCGCCCGCCGCCGCUCCGACCAUAGAGCCGGUCCUAGCCGGUCGCUUCAAACCAUCUUGUUAUGUAAUACGAAAAUAAACACGCUUUAAAACUGAGAGCACGUGUGCGUACCGGCCUGCAGUACAACGCCUUCCGUGUCUAUAUUCUUUAAUCAUUUUGUAAUUUACAUCCACAUCACGACGAAUUUAGCGUCCUCUAGCCUUUACAAAUGAACAUAGUGAACUAAAAAACCUCAACCGAUUGGGACAAAACAAAAUUUACAGUUAUUGUGUAACAAAUUAUUACAAACCAGUGUUCGGUGUCCAAUAGUGACCGGAUUAUACCAGUGAAAUGUCUAACUCAUUGGAUCAACAGUUUGGUGAGCUCAGCCUCUCCCAGGAGGAUCACGAUCAGAUUUUUGAGCACGAAGAUCACCAGGACCAAAGCCGGUCAUCGAGGGUGCUGAUCAGUGGCCUCCCUCUCCAUGCUCGCUUCGACACCAUCGAGCCCCUGCUCUCACAGUAUGGCAACGUGCAGCACUGUGACAAAGCGCAUACGCGCGAUGCCAACACCCAGGCAGUGUUCAUCACAUUCGAAACACCGGAGCAGGCUCAGCAGGCUGUUAACGGUUUAAACGGCUACGAAGUCGAGGGCAGCCGGAUGAAAGUGGAGGCAGCGGAGGGUCUACCGCGCGGCGGCAGGCGCGGGCGGCCGGGCGGCGGCCGCGGGGGCGGCGGUGCCCCCGGGGGCGCGCGCCCCACUGACUUCCCGCUCCGUCUACUCGUCCAGAGCGACAUGGUCGGCGCCAUCAUCGGCCGCCAGGGCAGCACCAUCCGUCUCAUCACACAGCAGAGCCGCGCCCGCGUCGACGUACAUCGAAAGGACAACGUGGGCUCACUAGAAAAGGCCAUCACCAUUUAUGGCAACCCUGAAAACUGCACUAACGCCUGCAAAAGAAUACUGGAGGUCAUGCAGCAGGAGGCCAAUAAUACCAACAAAGGUGAAAUAAGUCUUAAAAUACUGGCUCAUAACAACCUCAUCGGGCGCAUCAUAGGAAAAGGGGGCAACACAAUUAAAAGAAUAAUGCAUGAAACCGAUACUAAGAUCACCGUGUCGUCCAUUAAUGACAUUAACAGCUUCAACUUGGAACGCAUUAUCACCGUCAAGGGCACCAUCGAGAACAUGGCCAAGGCAGAGUCACAAAUCUCGGCGAAACUACGCCAGAGCUACGAGAGCGAUUUGCAGGUGCUGGCGCCGCAAAGCAUCAUGUUCCCAGGCUUACACCCGAUGGCGAUGAUGUCGACAGGGCGCGGCUUCUGCGGCGCACCCCCGCCGUUCCCGCCGCCUAUCUACGCGCCCCUUGCUGGACAGGGUGGCGCGCAGCAGGGAGCUGGUGAUUCGCAGGAAACUACAUACCUGUACAUUCCAAACAACGCAGUUGGUGCUAUUAUCGGUACGAAGGGAUCUCAUAUCCGCAACAUCAUUAGAUUUAGCAACGCUUCGGUAAAGAUCGCCCCGCUAGAGCAGGACAAGGCGGGAGAGGCCGGAGCCGGUGCGAACGCCAUCGCUCAGCAGGAGCGCAAAGUCACGAUCGUUGGAAGUCCAGAAGCGCAGUGGAAGGCCCAGUAUUUGAUCUUCGAGAAGAUGCGAGAGGAGGGCUUCAUGUCUGGAUCGGACGACGUGCGACUGACUGUCGAGAUUGUUGUCGCUUCUACCCAGGUGGGCCGGAUCAUCGGCAAGGGUGGUCAGAAUGUGCGCGAGCUGCAGCGCGUCACCGGAUCGCUGAUCAAGCUGCCCGAGCAGCCGCAGCCGCCCGCCGCCGCCGCCGACCACGAGACAACCGUGCACAUUGUGGGACCAUUCUACAGUGUUCAGCGGUCUCCCGAAGCGGGAUGAAAGAGAAGCGACUGCCAACACAAUCGCGCCUCGGCCUAGUCCGCUGACCGACUCUCAGUCCUACACCUUGUAUGAUUGUCCCCAUAGUCGGCGCAGCGCCGCAUCCGCGCUAUGGUGGCUCAGGCGAGCGCGCCGGGCCGCC